rnacentral:rRNA from 1 species
CAGCCGCCGCGGUAAUACGUAGGGUGCAAGCGUUAAUCGGAAUUACUGGGCGUAAAGCGUGCGCAGGUGGUGGUUUAAGUCCGUUGUGAAAGCCCUGGGCUCAACCUGGGAACUGCAUUUGUGACUGGCAAGCUAGAGUCUGGCAGAGGGGGGUGGAAUUCCGCGUGUAGCAGUGAAAUGCGUAGAUAUGCGGAGGAACACCGAUGGCGAAGGCAGCCCCCUGGGCCAACACUGACGCUCAUGCACGAAAGCGUGGGGAGCAAACAGGAUUAGAUACCCGUGUAGUCCCUGUCUCUUAUAC